AUUGAACGCUGGCGGCAGGCCUAACACAUGCAAGUCGAACGAGUGGCGGACGGGUGAGUAAUGUCGGGGAAACUGCCUGAUGGAGGGGGAUAACUACUGGAAACGGUAGCUAAUACCGCAUACCAUCGGAUGUGCCCAGAUGGGAUGAGCUAGUGGGUGGGGUAAUGGCUCACCUAGGCGACGAUCCCUAGCUGGUCUGAGAGGAUGACCAGCCACACUGGAGCUGAGACACGGUCCAGACUCCUACGGGAGGCAGCAGUGGGGAAUAGUGCACAAUGGGCGCAAGUCUGAUGCAGCCAUGCCGAGUGUAUGAAGAAGGCCGUCGGGUUGUAAAGUACUUGCAGCGGGGAGGCGUUACUCGCAGAAGAAGCACCGGCUAACUCCGUGCCAGCAGCCGCGGUAAUUC
rnacentral:rRNA from 1 species